rnacentral:ribozyme from 1 species
UCUUUUUUGUAGCUAAACUAUACUGUAGUCUCUUCAAUAUUUUCAAAAUGUUGGUGUAAGGCAUAAGAUGGUGCAUUGGCAGAAAAGAGAAAAGCCA